UUAUGGCUCAGGAUGAACGCUGGCGGCGUGCAUAACACAUUCAAGUCGAACGAAGGACAGAGCUUGCUCUGUACUUAGUGGCGGACGGGCGAGUAACGCGUGAGUAAUCUGCCUCUGUGUGCGGGAUAACAGCUGGAAACGGCUGCUAAUACCGCAUGAUGCAUCGAGACCGCAUGGUCAUGAUGCCAAAGAUUUAUUGCACAGAGAUGAACUUGCGUCCGAUUAGAUAGUUGGCGGGGUAAAGGCCCACCAAGUCUACGAUCGGUAGCCGGACUGAGAGGUUGAACGGCCACAUUGGAACUGAGAUACGGUCCAGACUCCUACGAGAGGCAGCAGUGGGGAAUUUUGGGCAAUAGGCGAAAGCCCUGACCCAGCGACGCCGCGUGAAGGAAGAAGAUCUUCGGAUUGUAAACUUCUGUCAACAGGGAAGAAACAAAUGACGGUACCUGUGGAGGAAGCCACGGCUAACUACGUGCCAGCCGCCGC
rnacentral:rRNA from 1 species